rnacentral:lncRNA from 1 species
CCCAAUCGGGGCAGGCGGGAAGCACUCCAGCCUCCUUGCAAGCUUGGGGCGCCUCAUUCUCUCCCGUGCCCCUUCUCCCAGCUGGGUCUGAGCCCCCGCCCCCCUGGCUCCUCCGUUCUGCUUCUCCCAGCUUCUCUGUCCAUCUCCCCCAAUGGCCUCUCUCUACACUCUCUGCCUCAGCUUCCAGGUCUCUGCUGGUCCCUAGGAAGCACUUUGACCUCUGCUUCCCCUUCAAAUGCUGUGGAUCAAGCCUCCCCAACCCCACCAUCCCACCAAAGGGGGCUGCUGACCGAGAGAGCUCACUCAGCCAGGUGGAGUCUCGCUCUGUGGCCCAGGCAAUCUCGGCUCACUACAACCUCCGCCUCCCAGGUUCAGGCGAUUCUCCUUCCUCAGCCUUCUGAGUAGCUGGAAUUACAGGCACCCGCCACCAUACCCAUCUAAUUUUUGUAUUUUUAGUAGAGACGAGGUUUCACCAUGUUGGCCAGGCUGGUCUCGAACUCCUGGCCUCAAGCAAUCCUCCCGCCUCGGCCUCCCAAAGUGUUGGGAUUACAAGCAUGAGUCACCAUGCCUGGCCUAUGGUAUUUUUUUAUAGCAGCAGGAACAGACUAAGACAUCCUACUUCUCAGCUUAAACGUCACCUCUGCACAGAGCCCUUCGUGAUACAUCUGAACAGAUUCUUUUCUGUGACUCUCCAUCCCUGCACUGUAUUUGCUCUUUCAGGGUGCUUUUUCACAUUUGUGAGGGUGUAUGCAUCUCCUCUUCCAGGCUGUAAGCUUCAUAAAGUCUCUGUUUUGUUCAUAACUAGAACAAGCCCUAGCACCUAGCAGUGAGUGUUCAUUAAACAUAUGAAGAAUGAAUCAGCGAGUGAUUUCAUGU